GGAAACUUGGAAACUACCGUUGAAUCGAGAAAUGGAUGUCCGAGAUUCGUCCACGUCACCACGAGUUAAAAGUUAACUCGCAGAUUCACUCAUGAGUUAAAAAUUUACUGGGAGUUAAAUUUUAACUCGUGGUGACGUGGACGAAUCUCGAACGUCCAUUUCUCGAUUCAACGGUAGUUUUCAAGUUUCC
rnacentral:pre_miRNA from 1 species